rnacentral:rRNA from 1 species
UGGCCGGAAGCCUAGCCCUUUUAGGCUAGCCGGGGGACAUCUGUCCCCGGGUCCGCGCUCGCCGAAGACACCUUAAAAACUCUGUCUGAAGAUGUAGUCUGAGAUAACUUUCAACAACGGAUCUCUUGGUUCCGGCAUCGAUGAAGAACGCAGCGAAAUGCGAUACGUAAUGUGAAUUGCAGAAUUCAGUGAAUCAUCGAGUCUUUGAACGCACAUUGCGCCCUCUGGUAUUCCGGAGGGCAUGCCUGUCCGAGCGUCAUUGCUGCCCUCAAGCACGGCUUGUGUGUUGGGCUCCGUCCUCCUUCCGGGGGACGGGCCCGAAAGGCAGCGGCGGCACCGCGUCCGGUCCUCAGCGUAUGGGGCUUUGUCACCCGCUUUGUAGGAUUGGCGGCGCCUGCGAUCAACCAAACUUUUCCAGGUGGACUCCGGAUCAGGUAGGGAUACCCGCUGAACUUAAGCAUUUCAUAAGCGGAAGGAAAAGAGACCACCGGGAUUGCCCCAGUACCGCCGAAUGGAAGCGUCAUUGCUCAGAUUUUACAGCUGGGUCUCUUCGGUCCCC